GCAGGCCUAACACAUGCAAGUCGAGCGGUAACAGAACUAGCUUGCUAGUUGCUGACGAGCGGCGGACGGGUGCGUAACACGUAGGAAUCUGCCCGGUAGUGGGGGAUAGCCCGGAGAAAUCCGGAUUAAUACCGCAUACGCCUUACGAGGGAAAGCAGGGGAAUCUUCGGAUCCUUGCGCUAUCGGAUGAGCCUGCGUCGGAUUAGCUAGUUGGUGAGGUAAAGGCUCACCAAGGCAACGAUCCGUAGCUGGUCUGAGAGGAUGAUCAGCCACACUGGGACUGAGACACGGCCCAGACUCCUACGGGAGGCAGCAGUGGGGAAUAUUGCACAAUGGGCGCAAGCCUGAUGCAGCCAUGCCGCGUGUGUGAAGAAGGCUCUAGGGUUGUAAAGCACUUUCAAUGGGGAGGAAAAGCUAUAUUUUAAUACGUUAUAGCCGUGACGUUACCUAUAGAAGAAGGACCGGCUAACUCCGUGCCAGCAGCCGCGGUAAUACGGAGGGUCCGAGCGUUAAUCGGAAUUACUGGGCGUAAAGCGCGCGUAGGUGGUUAGAUAAGUCAGAUGUGAAAUCCCCGGGCUCAACCUGGGAACUGCAUUUGAUACUGUUUGGCUAGAGUUUGGUAGAGGUGAGUGGAAUUCCAGGUGUAGCGGUGAAAUGCGUAGAGAUCUGGAGGAACAUCAGUGGCGAAGGCGACUCACUGGGCCAAUACUGACACUGAGGUGCGAAAGCGUGGGUAGCAAACAGGAUUAGAUACCCUGGUAGUCCACGCCCUAAACGAUGUCAACUAGGUGUAUGGUAUGAAUUUACUGUGUAUCGAAGCUAACGCGAUAAGUUGACCGCCUGGGGAGUACGGCCGCAAGGCUAAAACUCAAAUGAAUUGACGGGGGCCCGCACAAGCGGUGGAGCAUGUGGUUUAAUUCGAUGCAACGCGAAGAACCUUACCUGGCCUUGACAUGUACGGAAGAUUGAAGAGAUUUGAUUGUGCCUUCGGGAGCCGUAACACAGGUGCUGCAUGGCUGUCGU
rnacentral:rRNA from 1 species